UGUCCCAGCACUGGAUACACCCUUUCCUAUCUGAAAGAUCCAUCGACGAUGAUUGGACAGGCUACAAUCUACAUACGUCCACUUCAACAGGAUCUACCCUUAGAUUGUGUACAUAAAUUUACAGAGACUUAGUUUAAUACAUAAUCAAAACAAAGAUUACUGGUGACUUUUAAUCCUUAAUUAAAAGCCAUUUGUUGUUGUUAGGAGAGCUCACGUCCUGCCUCUGGUCCAGUCAUCCCCUGCAUCAGUUGUCAUAAGGAAGUUCCCUUUUCAGAGAUGAAGCUGCACAGAUUGAGCUGCAAUGGGACACCCAUGCAGGGAUCAGAAAGAGAACAAGAGGGAGGCCAAAGUGAAGAAGAUGAUAGUGAGACAGCCCUAGUCAGUGACAGUGUUCCAGUGAGGCCUGAAACAUCAGCUGAGAGUGCAGUAGUACCGGCAGUGAUUGUCAACGAGGAGUUGGAUCGCAAAGAAACAGACAGUGAAUGGAAGCUUCUUAAAGAACCCACUCAAGCUGCCAAAGUUUUCAAAGAGAAUCUGCU